AGUGAACGCUGGCGGUAGGCCUAACACAUGCAAGUCGAACGGCAGCACAGUAAGAGCUUGCUCUUACGGGUGGCGAGUGGCGGACGGGUGAGGAAUACAUCGGAAUCUACUUUUUCGUGGGGGAUAACGUAGGGAAACUUACGCUAAUACCGCAUACGACCUACGGGUGAAAGCAGGGGAUCUUCGGACCUUGCGCGAUUGAAUGAGCCGAUGUCGGAUUAGCUAGUUGGCGGGGUAAAGGCCCACCAAGGCGACGAUCCGUAGCUGGUCUGAGAGGAUGGUCGCCCACACUGGAACUGAGACACGGUCCAGACUCCUACGGGAGGCAGCAGUGGGGAAUAUUGGGCAAUGGGCGCAAGCAUGAUCCAGCCAUACCGCGUGGGUGAAGAAGGCCUUCGGGUUGUAAAGCCCUUUUGUUGGGAAAGAAAAGCAGCAGGUUAAUACCCCGCUGUUCUGACGGUACCCAAAGAAUAAGCACCGGCUAACUUCGUG
rnacentral:rRNA from 1 species